UUGAAGUCGAGAAUGAAAGGAAAAAUUAAAAUAAACUGUCUUAAAAAUUUUUUUUAAAAAUUACUAAUAUGGUGAAAAUUCCAUAAAUAACUUUUAAUAGACGAGAAGACCCUAUGAAUUAUAAUAAAAAAUUUUAAAAAAAUUUUAAAUUUUUGUUGGGGCAACAGAGAAAAAGGGAAAAAUUAAUUAUAUUUAAAAAUUCAUAAAUAAAAAUUUACAUUUGAAGUUUUACUAUAAAUGAAUUUAAUU
rnacentral:rRNA from 1 species